rnacentral:tRNA from 1 species
UGGGGUGUAGCUCAGUUGGUAGAGGGCUUGCCUAGCAUGCACAAGGCUCCUGGGUUCAACUCUUAGCACCACAU